rnacentral:rRNA from 1 species
UACGUAGGGGGCAAGCGUUGUCCGGAAUCAUUGGGCGUAAAGCGCGUGUAGGCGGUUCGAUUAGUCUGCUGUGAAAGUCGGGGCUCAACCCUCGAAAGCGGUGGAUACUGUCGGGCUAGAGUGCGGAAGAGGCGAGUGGAAUUCCUGGUGUAGCGGUGAAAUGCGCAGAUAUCAGGAGGAACACCAAUUGCGAAGGCAGCUCGCUGGGACGUUACUGACGCUGAGACGCGAAAGCGUGGGGAGCAAACAGG